rnacentral:tRNA from 1 species
GCCUUGGUGGUGGAAUGGUAGACACAGUUGAUUCAAAAUUAACUGCCUUUCGGCGUGGAGGUUCAAGUCCUCUUCAAGGCA